rnacentral:rRNA from 1 species
UACGUAGGGUGCAAGCGUUGUCCGGAAUUAUUGGGCGUAAAGAGCUCGUAGGCGGUUUGUCGCGUCGGCUGUGAAAACCUGGGGCUCAACCCCGGGCCUGCAGUGGGUACGGGCAGACUAGAGUGCGGUAGGGGAGACUGGAAUUCCUGGUGUAGCGGUGAAAUGCGCAGAUAUCAGGAGGAACACCGGUGGCGAAGGCGGGUCUCUGGGCCGUAACUGACGCUGAGACGCGAAAGCGUGGGGAGCGAACAGG